UGAGACACUGCCCAAACUCCUACGGGAGGCUGCAGUCGAGAAUAUUCGUCAAUGGGCGAAAGCCUGAACGAGCGAUGCCGCGUGUAGGAUGAAGGCCCUCGGGUCGUAAACUACUUUUGUAAGGGAAGAAUCCCGCACCUUUUAGCUUUCAAAACCGAUAUGUUUUACGUAUAUGUUUUGAAAAGUCUCUCAACAGAUAAUUUCUACAUUGGGUGUACUGAAGAUUUGAGGAGAAGAUUUGUCCAGCAUAAUUCUGGAGAGUCGUCUCAUACUCGGAAGUAUAUGCCAUGGGAACUUAUUUACUAUGAGGCGUAUAGUUCUCGAAAACUUGCUUGUGACCGUGAGCGAAAACUUAAGCAUCACGGCAAAGGUUUUGCAGAACUUAAGAAAAGAAUUCUUGAAGGUUAAAAGGUGCGGGAUGACGGUACCUUGCGAAUAAGAGGUUACUAACUCUGUGCCAGCAGUAGCGGUAAUACAGAGACCUCAAGCGUUAUCCGGAUUUAUUGGGCGUAAAGAGUGGGUAGGUGGUCGUGUUAGUCAGAUGUCAAAUCCUUCGACUCAAUCGAAGAACUGCAUUUGAAACGGCACGACUUGAGGCGGUGAGAGACCAGUGGAAUUCACGGUGUAGUAGUGAAAUGCGUUGAUAUCGUGAAGAACACCAAAGGCGAAGGCAGCUGGUUGGCACCGAUCUGACACUGAGCCACGAAAGCGUGGGGAGCGAAUGGGAUUAGAUACCCCAGUAGUCCACGCCCUAAACGAUGCACACUAGGUAUGGGAGGAAUCGACCCCUUCCGUGCCGCAGCUAACGCGUUAAGUGUGCCGCCUGGGAAGUACGAGCGCAAGCUUAAAACUCAAAGGAAUAGACGGGGAUCCGCACAAGUGGUGGAGCAUGUGGUUUAAUUCGACGAUAACCGAGGAACCUCACCAGGGUUUGAAAUCUGGCUGGAGAUCUUAGAAAUAAGAAGUCCUUCGAGGCCGCCAGACCAGGUGCUGCAUGGUCGUCGUCAGCUCGUGUCGUAAGAUGUUCCGUUAAGUCGGGAAACGAGCGCAACCCCUGUCGCGUGUUACACGUAUCACGCGAGACCGCCCCGCACCUUUUUUCUGAAUAUUUCGGAGGAAGGGUGCGGGGAGGAAGGAGGGGAUGACGUCAGAUCAGCAUGGCCCUCUGACACCCUGGGCGACACACGUGCUACAAUGGCCGGUAUAAAGGGUUGCCAAGUCGCGAGACGGAGCUAAUCCCAAAAAACCGGCCCCAGUUCGGAUUGGAGUCUGCAACUCGACUCCAUGAAGCCGGAAUCACUAGUAAUCGUGAAUCAGCCAAGUCACGGUGAAUACGUUCUCGGAUCUUGUACUCACAAUAAAAGCGCCGGGCAGUAUAGUUUUCUAGAGAGUUCAAAUCUCUCCCUCCGAAUCGUCAAUCGGAGCGUAGCUGAAGGGUAGUCUUUUCUCGCGAGGGAAAU
rnacentral:rRNA from 1 species